rnacentral:rRNA from 1 species
GUAGGGAAUCUUCGGCAAUGGACGAAAGUCUGACCGAGCAACGCCGCGUGAGUGAAGAAGGUUUUCGGAUCGUAAAACUCUGUUGUUAGAGAAGAAUGUUGAUUAGAGUGGAAAAUUAAUCAAGUGACGGUAUCUAACCAGAAAGGGACGGCUAACUACGUGCCAGCAGCCGCGGUAAUACGUAGGUCCCGAGCGUUGUCCGGAUUUAUUGGGCGUAAAGCGAGCGCAGGUGGUUUAAUAAGUCUGAUGUAAAAGGCAGUGGCUCAACCAUUGUGUGCAUUGGAAACUGUUAGACUUGAGUGCAGUAGAGGAGAGUGGAAUUCCAUGUGUAGCGGUGAAAUGCGUAGAUAUAUGGAGGAACACCGGUGGCGAAAGCGGCUCUCUGGACUGUCACUGACACUGAGGCUCGAAAGCGUGGGUAGCAAACAGGAUUAGAUACCCUAGUAGUCC